rnacentral:rRNA from 1 species
UACGGAGGGGGCUAGCGUUGCUCGGAAUCACUGGGCGUAAAGCGCACGUAGGCGGUCUCUUAAGUCGGUGGUGAAAUCCUGGAGCUCAACUCCAGAACUGCCUUCGAUACUGGCGAUCUUGAGUCCGGAAGAGGUGAGUGGAACUCCUAGUGUAGAGGUGGAAUUCGUAGAUAUUCGCAAGAACACCAGUGGCGAAGGCGGCUCACUGGCCCGAUACUGACGCUGAGGCACGAAAGCGUGGGGAGCAAACAGG